ACGUAGGAUCCGAGCGUUGUCCGGAGUUACUGGGUGUAAAGGGUGCGUAGGCUGUUCUGUGCGUCAGAGGUGAAAUCCACGAGCUUAACUCGUGGGGUGCCUUUGAUACGGCAGGGCUUGAGUACGAGAGAGGUGCGUGGAAUUCCUGGUGUAGCAGUGAAAUGCGUAGAUAUCAGGAGGAACACCGGUGGCGAAGGCGGCGCACUGGCUCGUAACUGACGCUGAGGCACGAAAGCGUGGGGAUCAAACAGG
rnacentral:rRNA from 1 species